GGUUAAAUGGUAAUUCUUCCAUUCUAAUUUAUGAACUAAUUAAUUAGAGGGUUGAACUAUUGCAAGAUGGUUAUAUCUAUGGACGACUUAAGAAAAAGAUUUCUGUAAAAGUAUAUCUAUAACAUAAAGAGUGCAAUUCUGAAUUUAUAGUGGAGUAAUAUCAGAAUUAAUAAAUUAACUAUUAUAGUUAAAGAGUUUAAUUAUUUAGUUUCAAUUUAUUGGAGCUUAAUGUUAUAGGUCCAUGGUCCCCGAAAUGGCUCAAAUAAUCACUGUCAAAGGCAAAUACAAAAAUGGGCAAAAAGGACUUAUGUGAUAACUAAAAUAUUUUUCUAUGUAUCAAACAUAAUUAUUGAUUAAUUAUGUGUAAUUAAUUAAUUAAGAAUUAAUUAAUUAUUUGAUUUAACAAAAAUAUAAUUAAUUUUGAAUUAAUUUAUUUUUUGGGAUUUUUUGGUAUUUAAAUAAUAAUAAAAUUGGGAAAAAUCACAUGCUUGCACAUGCAUGCAGUACACGUGUGGCACAGUGCAUGUGCACUGUGCUACACGCAUAAGAGAGAGACUUGGUCUCUUGAUUCCACAAUUUUAGUUAUUUAAAUAUUAAAUAAAUAAUGAGAUAUUUUGAUUUGAUUUAAAUAUUAUUAUUUAAACAAAAAUCUGAUAACUGAUCAGUUAUUUUGAAUUUGUUUAAAAUAACAAAUAUUUUAAUAUAUUGGAUAUUAUUAAAUAUUGGAUAUCAGUUUUCACAGAACGCAAGUUUUCAGGGAUAGAAAAAUAUCUAGAAUUCUCUCAGAGAAGAAGAUCAGUGACAAAAACAAAGGUCAUUAUUCUUCACAAAACCUUGGUCCAAACUUUAUCAGAUCUCAUGUGUUGAGAAUAUCUGAUAAAUAGUUAUUGCCUAUUAUUUGUAUAGUGAGCCCACACUCGUUCUUUGGGUGACUGAGAACAUUUUUGAAGAUCUUGGUGUGAGAUCUCAAGGAUUCAGCCAUACGAAAAGAUAGCAGCAAGGAAGGACCUGAGUGUGAUGCAGGAAAAUAGAUACAAAGGCGAAAGGAUUCUUGAAAACUUGUUGUGUGUGCUGAGAUGAAUGGAGUGGAUGGGCUGCGUGUCGAUUCAAGGACGACAUUAUUUUCUUUAGUCUCUUUAAAUUACAUUUUUAUGUAUUUUUCCGCAUUUAGCUUUGUAAACAAUUUCAUUUAAAGUUAUGUUUUAUUUUGAAACAAUGAGCUCAUUUAUGUAUUACAAAUAUUAUUUUAAAGUUUUCAAUAAAGUUAUGAAUUUUCACAU